GGGGCUGAUUCUGGAUUCGACGGGAUUUGCGAAACCCAAGGUGCAUGCCGAGGGGCGGUUGGCCUCGUAAAAAGCCGCAAAAAAUAGUCGCAACGACGAAAACUACGCUUUAGCAGCUUAAUAACCUGCUUAGAGCCCUCUCUCCCUAGCCUCCGCUCUUAGGACGGGGAUCAAGAGAGGUCAAACCCAAAAGAAUCGCGUGGAAGCCCUGCCUGGGGUUGAAGCGUUAAAACUUAAUCAGGCUAGUUUGUUAGUGGCGUGUCCGUCCGCAGCUGGCAAGCGAAUGUAAAGACUGACUAAGCAUGUAGUACCGAGGAUGUAGGAAUUUCGGACGCGGGUUCAACUCCCGCCAGCUCCACCA
rnacentral:tmRNA from 1 species